rnacentral:lncRNA from 1 species
CUUUUUGACAUGUAGGAAGUUAUGGAGAGAUAUUUUAAACGAAAAUCUCCAUUCUCUAUUGAAGAAAAUGAUGAUGUAGAUAAAUCAAGGAAAGAUAUAAUUAGAGGAGCACGCGUGCAAGCAGGUGCUCAGACUCUUUUGAGUGUAUCAGUUGAUUGUGUUCGAUUUCUCACACGACAAGGACUUGUAUUCAAUGAUGAUGAAUUUGCAGUUUCAGAAGAUCAACGUGAUUUUAUUCAACUUUUGUGGUGGCUGGCCAACAAAAGUGCUGAGAUUAAGGCUAUUAUGAAAAAUGCUCCAGAGAAUCUCGUUUUAAUAGCACGUGAUAUUCAAAAUGAUAUUGCAAGUGUUGCUGCUGUUGAAAUGCUGAGUGUUAUUAUUGAAGAUAUUGGUGAUGCCUUAUUCUCAAUUCUACUUGAUAAGUCUUCUGAUGUCUCACAAGAGGAGCAAAUGUCUAUUGUGUUGCGUUAUGUGAACAACACUGGAGAUGUAGUCGAACAUUUUAUGGGUAUUGAACACGUUUCUAGUGCCACAUCUUUCUCACUUAAGGCAGUUAUAGAUAAAUUAUUCUGUAAAUACGGGUUGAGUAUUUCUAGAUUGAGAGGACAAGGUUAUGAGGUGGCUAGCGAUAUUCAAGGUGAGUUUAAUGGUCUCAAAGAACUUAUUUUGAAAGAGAAUCCGUGUGCUUUUUACAUUCAUUGCUUUGCUCAUCGACUUGAACAAGCUCUUGUACAUGUUGCAAAGAAUCAUAGGGAGAUUGGAUCACUAUUCAGUUUGGUUUCUAGGAUGGUGAAUACUGUUGGAGUAUUGUCUAAUCGUUGUGAUCUUCUCAGACAGAAACAAGCAGCCAUAAUUUCGAAUGCACUUGAGAACAGUGAGAUUUCAAAUGGACAAAGUUUCGAUCAACAUAGUACUGUUAAUUCUCCUCAUGAUCCACAUUGGGGAUCACACUAUGGUACUUUGACCACUUUGAUUACCAUGUUCUCGCCCAUACUUGAUGUCCUUGAAAUGAUUGUUGAUGUUGAAUCAUAUCCUAAUAAAAGAUCUUGGGCAAAUUAUUUAUUAGAUUGGAUGCAAUCAUUUGACUUUGCAUUUAGUCUACAUCUCAUGAGAACUAUUUUAGGAAUUUCCAAUGAAUUGUCAAAGGCAUUACAAAAGAAAGAUGAAGAUAUUGUAAAUGCCAUAAAUUUAGUGAAAGUAUGUAAACAACAACUCCAAUUGAUUAGGGAGAAUGGGUGGGAUUCUCUUUUGGAACAAGUACGUUCUUUUUGUCAAAAGAACUAUAUUGAUGUUCUGAACAUGGAUGGUACCUUUACGUAUAAAGGUCGCCCAAGGCGGAAUAUUGAAGAAAUGACAAAUUUGCAUUACUUCCGUGAGGGUUUAUUCUAUAAUGUCAUUGAUAUGCAACUUCAAGAGUUGAAUGAUCGAUUCACCGAGGUAAAUAAUGAGCUUCUUCUUUGUGUAGCAUGCUUAUGCCCCAAUGAUUCAUUCUCAUUUUUUGAUAAGGAAAAGAUAGUUCGCCUUGCUUAGUAUUAUCCAAACGACUUUUCAACAACAGAGUUUAUGAAACUUGAUGAUCAACUUGAGGCUUAUAUCACUGAUAUUCGCUCUAGCAAAGAGUUCAAAGAAUUACGGGGCCUUAGUAAUCUUUCAAAGAAGUUGAAUGCAACUAAGAAAAAUGAAGUGUAUCCAUUAGUUUACAAGCUUGUGAAUUUGGCAUUAAUUCUUCCCAUUGCUACUCCUACAGUUGAAAGAGUCUUAACUGCAAAUAACAUUGUGAAGGCUCGAUUGCGCAAUAAAAUUGGAGAUCGGUGGAUGAAUGACAACUUAGUUGUAUAUAUUGAAAACGAUGUAUUCGAAAAAAUAGAUGAUGAUGUCAUUAUGCGUGGUUUCCGAAGUGUGAAAACCUGUUGGGGACAAUGGUAACUUGUUGUGACGUUUUUAAUAUUAUUUUGUUAUUGGCUUAUUUCCAAAAUUUAUAUGUUGUCAAGUCUUUA